rnacentral:ribozyme from 1 species
AAAAGAGAAAAUAAAGUGAAUACUUGAAGAAAUCUUUGUCCACAUUUCAGUUCUUAUCCUUGUCUUCUUCUUCUUCUUCUUCUUCUUCUUCUUUUUCUUCUU